UCGUUUGUGCUGUUUGCAUACGCAUAAUGCAAUACACAUUUAAAUAAUAAUAAUAAUAAUAAUAUCCUUAUAAUAAUAAUAAUACCAGAGGUGGGUAGAGUACCCAAAAACUGUACUCAAGUAAAAGUAAAAGUACUUAUUGAAAUAUUUACUCCAGUAAAAGUAAUAGUCUGAAUAGUUACUUGAGUAAGAGUAAAAAAGUAUCAGAUAAAAAAAAACUACUCAAGUAGUUAGUUACUACACUCUAAACCCGGAUUUUGUUUUAAAUAAACGUUUUUAGCUGUCUUUAAUUAUUCUUUCUUGUUUUUGCUAAACACGUCGCCAUUACUAAAUAUAAUUAGUUAUCUGAAGUAAUCAGACGAAAAAUUGCAUGCAAUGAUUAUGUUAAGUAGAGAUAGCUUAAUGUGUUAAGUUUCUGUAAGGGGGAGGAGCCCCAUUCGAACACGUCUGUGAGCGCGCGAUGUUUGAAGAGACCCGAGACCGGUUGAUGAUGCACGCGAUGGAUUUGGAAAACAUCAUGAAACGGUGUUCAUGGAGUUCUACAGGAUUGUGGGCAAGAAUCUCAAGCAGUCAUCUAACUGAGAUAUUUCAGUCUAAAGAGGGAAUGCUGGGCAGCUGUUGACCGCUUUCACAACAAAUCAAGACUAAAGAGCCAGCUGAUACUAGGUUUCUCCCUUUUGCCCUUUGCGACAACCCUACAGAUUUC